CCUACGGGAGGCAGCAGUGGGGAAUAUUGGACAAUGGGGGCAACCCUGAUCCAGCCAUGCCGCGUGUGUGAAGAAGGCCCUCGGGUUGUAAAGCACUUUCAGUGAGGAAGAACGCCUGGUGGUUAAUACCCAUCAGGAAAGACAUCACUCACAGAAGAAGCACCGGCUAACUCCGUGCCAGCAGCCGCGGUAAUACGGAGGGUGCGAGCGUUAAUCGGAAUUACUGGGCAUAAAGCGCGCGUAGGUGGCUUGAUAAGCCGGUUGUGAAAGCCCCGGGCUCAACCUGGGAACGGCAUCCGGAACUGUCAAGCUAGAGUGCAGGAGAGGAAGGUAGAAUUCCCGGUGUAGCGGUGAAAUGCGUAGAGAUCGGGAGGAAUACCAGUGGCGAAGGCGGCCUUCUGGACUGACACUGACACUGAGGUGCGAAAGCGUGGGUAGCAAACAGGAUUAGAUACCCCAGUAGUC
rnacentral:rRNA from 1 species